AUGGAAUUGCUGGGUCAAAUGGUAUUUUUGACUUUAGGUCUUUGAGGAAUUGCCACAUUGUCUUCCACAAUGGUUUAACUAAUUUACACUCUCACCAAUAGUAUAUAAGCAUUCAUUUUUCACCACAACUUUGCCAGCAUCUCUUAGUUUUUGACUUUUACAUGUUAAUAAUAG